UACGUAGGGUGCGAGCGUUGUCCGGAUUUAUUGGGCGUAAAGAGCUCGUAGGCGGCUUGUCGCGUCGAAUGUGAAAACUCGGGGCUCAACUCCGAGCUUGCAUUCGAUACGGGCAGGCUAGAGUUCGGUAGGGGGAGACUGGAAUUCCUGGUGUAGCGGUGAAAUGCGCAGAUAUCAGGAGGAACACCGGUGGCGAAGGCGGGUCUCUGGGGCCGAUACUGACGCUGAGACACGAAAGCGUGGGGAGCAAACAGG
rnacentral:rRNA from 1 species